AUGCUAGAGAUGAUGUUGAUGAAGAUGAUGAUGAUGAUGGCCAUAUUGGUGCUAAUGAGCUGCUUAAACUCUUCAAGACUGCAGUCCAAUGAAGAAUCCCCAUAAGACCCUUUUAUCUUCUCAUAAUUCUUACCAAACCCCUUGUUAUAAUCAUACACACCUACAUGAAAGCCCCCAUCAGAGUUAGUACUUGAACUAGCUUGAUCACCUCCACAUAUGACAAGGGUAGAACUGUCUUUUUCUCCUUGUGAUUGUAGAACUGGAUAAUGAUGAGUAUGAUGAUGAUGAUGAUCAGAAGCAGCAGCAGCAGCAGAAGCAGUUGUUGUUGUUGUUGUUGUAGGACUUGAUGGGAUAGAUAGGGUUUGAUCAUAAUACUUAGAAGUAUUUGAAGUACUAUACAUAUACGAUGAAGGUGGUGAUGCAGGUGAUGAUGACAAUGGACCACUAAUAUUAAUAUUCCCAUUAUGAAAAACUGGCAGUGAUGGGUAGCUGUAACUUGUUAAAGAAUUGGGAGACUGAAGAUGAUGAAGAGGUUUUCCAGUUUCAGGCAUGGAGAUUAAACUGGGCAUCAUCUUCUUCUUCAGCUUUGUGUUCCAGUAGUUCUUAAUAUCGUUAUCUGUUCUUCCUGGUAAUUGUGCUGCCAUUAUUGACCACCUGUGUACAUCAACUUAUUCCAUCAAAACUUCUAGAUUUAUGUUUAUAUAUACCACAGAUUAUUAGAAGAGGGUACCUGCUACCAAUGCUAGCAAAAAGGGUACAUAUAAUUUUAUCUUCAUCAUCAGAAAAUUCACCAUGUUUAAUAUUUGGUCUCAGAUAGUUCAGCCAUCUCAACCUACAACUCUUUCCGCAUCUACGGAGACCUGUGUUGGUUUCAAAAUCAAGAAACAACACAUAGUUAUAAUUUGUGGUUAACGAUUAACCAGUGAGCUAAAACAAGAAACCGAUGAGUUUCUAACAUGGUUUCUAGUCAAUUUUUGAAACAUGUCUGGCUUCUAGUGAUACGUUUCUUACAAUUGAACUCUGAACGAAUCCUCUAGUUGAACUAGCGGAUCACCUAGUAGCCAAACAUGUAUCAGUAAUUGACCAAAAAAGACCAUGUUGAAAACUGCAA
rnacentral:lncRNA from 1 species